rnacentral:snoRNA from 1 species
CAAGCACGACGCAACCUGCUUCCGGACAUGUGCUGUAAGCGGUACUAUUAGUGCGAUAUGAACGUGUGGGCCCUCCGUGUGCGUGUGACUUCAUUGUGCUAGCACUCCGUUGGUCACCAGACAAUU